AUUGAACGCUGGCGGCAUGCUUUACACAUGCAAGUCGAACGGUAACAGGUCUUCGGAUGCUGACGAGUGGCGAACGGGUGAGUAAUGCAUCGGAACGUGCCCAGUCGUGGGGGAUAACGCAGCGAAAGCUGCGCUAAUACCGCAUACGAUCUAUGGAUGAAAGCGGGGGACCGUAAGGCCUCGCGCGAUUGGAGCGGCCGAUGUCAGAUUAGGUAGUUGGUGGGGUAAAGGCCCACCAAGCCAACGAUCUGUAGCUGGUCUGAGAGGACGACCAGCCACACUGGGACUGAGACACGGCCCAGACUCCUACGGGAGGCAGCAGUGGGGAAUUUUGGACAAUGGGCGCAAGCCUGAUCCAGCAAUGCCGCGUGCAGGAAGAAGGCCUUCGGGUUGUAAACUGCUUUUGUACGGAACGAAACGGCUCUCUCCAAUACAGAGGGCUAAUGACGGUACCGUAUGAAUAAGCACCGGCUAACUACGUGCCAGCCGCCGCAGUAACAC
rnacentral:rRNA from 1 species